GGGGCCUUAGCUCAGCUGGUAGAGCGCCUGCUUUGCAAGCAGGAUGUCAGGAGUUCGAAUCUCCUAGGCUCCAC
rnacentral:tRNA from 3 species